rnacentral:rRNA from 1 species
GACGAACGCUGGCGGCGCGCCUAAUACAUGCAAGUCGAACGGUCUUUUCUAUGGGAGCUUGCUUCCACUGAGAAGAUAGUGGCGAACGGGUGAGUAACACGUGGGUAACCUGCCCAUGAGAGGGGGAUAACAUCCGGAAACGGGUGCUAAUACCGCAUAGGUUUCUCGAUCGCAUGAUCGAGAAAGGAAAGACGGCCUUUGUGCUGUCGCUUAUGGAUGGACCCGCGGCGUAUUAGUUAGUUGGUGAGGUAACGGCUCACCAAGACGAUGAUACGUAGCCGACCUGAGAGGGUGAUCGGCCACAUUGGGACUGAGACACGGCCCAAACUCCUACGGGAGGCAGCAGUAGGGAAUCUUCCGCAAUGGACGAAAGUCUGACGGAGCAACGCCGCGUGAGUGAAGAAGGUUUUCGGAUCGUAAAACUCUGUUGUCAGAGAAGAACAAGUCGGAGAGUAACUGCUCCGGCCUUGACGGUAUCUGUCCAGAAAGCCACGGCUAACUACGUGCCAGCAGCCGCUGUAAUAC